rnacentral:lncRNA from 1 species
GUAAUGAGUAGGUAAUGUCGUGAAAUAUGUUAAAUUGUAGUGAUCACUUAUAAGUGUUUUUUUCUUCAUCUAAAUCGAUUAAUCUAAAUUUUUGCCCAAACCCACCUCUUAGAUCUUCAGUUUCUGCGCUGCCCAGAAAUCAUUUCUUGAAUUUCAGGCCUUUUUCUGCGUUCUCAUCUCCAUCUCCGUUUUGCUGAAGAUUUCGAUUAUAAGACCCCCAAUUUUGUUCAGAAUCAGAAUUUGGAGGAGUCUUAGGGAAUGAGGGCGCCGGAAAAAUCUCAGUGAAAGCCUUUUUCCUUUGCACCAGGUUCAUUUUUUUCUUUUUCUUUUUUUUUUGUGUGUAUAGAUUACAUAUUAAUUUUCGGUUCUCUUCUAUUUUAGUUAUGGGGUGUAUGGUUGUAUAAAAUAUUGAAUAUAUAUUAAUUCUAAAUAUAUAUUAAUGCUGUUGAAAAUUUUCAGGCAAAAGCUUGAGUUUUUGUAUGUGUGAAUGUCUAAUUUCUAUUUGGUAAUCUUGAAUUUGGCAAUUUGCUCUAUGUUUGGUUGUUGUUGAUAGAGAAAAUUGACUCCAGUGAAUACUGGUAGAUAUUUGUUAAUAUAUUGUUAGUAGUGAAGGUAUAUAAGGGGCUCUUUUCUAGAAAAAUAGGUGCCACGGAAUUUCUCGUGUAAUGGUUUGCAGUGGAACAGCUCAGUGGUAUUGGGUAGUUUUUGUAUCUAAGAAUGAUUGAGGAGAAUAAUUUCUGAAGUAUGAAUGACGUUAUCAUUUUCAUAACCUUUGACCUACUCAUUCAAGUUUUUAUUUAUGAUCAUGGAAUAGUUUAGUUUAUGCUCUUCCUGUUUUUCCCAUUUACAAGAGUGGUGCAAUCUCAAUAGAACACAUAAGAAGCGGGGGAGGUAUGCCAAAAUGAGCAUGCUUUUAUGGUUGUAAAGGUGUAGUAAUAGUGGAUCUUUGGUACAUGUAAUAAAAUGACAAAAGGGAUUCUUGGAGUUCGCCUCAAUUUUAUUAGGAAUAAGGCGUACAUACCAUUUGGAUGCAAUUGAUAGAUUGGUUUAUAUAAUCAGCCAAAGUCGACCCUUUUUUCCUCAAUCACACAUAUGACUACUACAUACUAUUAUCCACACAUUUCAUAGGGCUCACUACUAUUCCUAUUUAUAAACCAUUUAUAAAUUUGCCAAGCGGAGGCUAAGUUUGUUGUUGAUCAUGGAAUAUUUUAAUUUCAAAUAAAUAAAGAACAAUAUAUAUCACAAGACAUCAAAGAUCACCUUUUUGGAAACCAAGAUCUUUGAACUUUUUUUAUUUUAUUUUAUUUUUUUGUCUCUCUUUCUCUCAAUGAAUUUUACCUCGGCGAGAGUUUGUUUAGAAGAAUAACACUUGUCAUCCUGGGUGCAAGAGUUGGGUGUAAAUAAAAAAGUGCUUGUGCUAUUAUUUUCUCUAGCAGAGAAGCAUUGAAGUCCAUAUAUCAUCAUAAUUCUUAUUUUAUAGUUGUAAUGUUGUCGAAUAUAUAUUGUUCUCUUAGGCGUCCUUUUCUUUGGAUCAAUUUGUACUUUUCCGUACAACUUUAUCUUCUUCUUUCUUGUAUUCAUUUAAGAGUCACCUGACUAAAGUUGGUUGAUCAUUUUCAUUUAUAGACUUUCCUUUUCCCAUCAAAGCCUUGAAAGAUUCAAGUUUGUCCUGAUAAUUUUGAGUGUGACUAGGAAUAAAGGUGACUUGCUAAUGCUAUCAUCCUAUCACUACUCUUUGCCUUCUGAUUUUUUAGCUCUCAGAUGGUCAAACCUGAGCGAACUAAUUCUGUUAGUUAUUUAACUCAUUAACAUUAUUUAGUAGGUAGGAGGGUCAUCCACUACUGAUAUAAAUAGUAUACAAACUUUUGCUUAGUUAUUGUGGUUACUCAUCUCUGUUUAUCGACAAUGUAGAACAUGUAAAUAAUGUAAAUUGGAAAUGCGAACAUACCAGACCUGGACAAAGUGAAUUCAAAUUUUAAAAGAGUAGUUUUCACUAUAAUAUGAUCAAUUUUAUAGAGUACCUUUUAGGCUUAUACAUAUUGAAUCAAGUUUGAGAGGACAAUCAAUUUACAUCUUUUCUUCAAUCUAUCCCCACCCCAAAAAAAAAUAAUAAUAAUAAAAUAAAAUAAAAAAUAAAUAAAACCUUACAUGUACAUAAUAUUAUAAGACUUGAACCUGGACCUUUGCUGCAUAGAUACCUUUUAUAAUCAGUUGAUCUAAAAGUUUAAGUUGUUAGAGAAGGUCACGGAUAUAUAAUUUAAAUUUUGUCUUCAAUCAUUCAAAUCUACACUAAUUCAAGUUGUUAGAGAAGACCCCAGGUAUAUCAUUUAACUAUUGUCUUCAACCAUUCAGAAUCAUAGUGAACUUUAGUUGAGUACAUGCUGCUGAUGUUGCCAAGGUAAAUUCUCAUAGCUAACAAAAAAUGAUUACCAAUCGGAUAACAGAAUGAAAACUUUCAAUUUUUACAUUUUUAUCACGACGGAAUACAUCAUAACCUUGCAAAUUUAUAUUUUUGUUUCUCAUUGCAUACUCGUGUUUUGGACGAUUGGUGUCUAAUUUACGUGGAGUGUAAAUAACCAUUACAUGUGUUUCUGUCAGUUGUUUGGUUGGUAAAAUCCUUGUGCAUGGCCACAUUUGUGUUUUUCAAGAUUCCUUGUUUGUCUGGUUUCUCAUAUUCAUGGUUUUGGCAGUGUUGAUUUGAAGAGCAUGCAAGCUAAGAAUUCAGGCAAUGUUAUUCCUCCCGCAUUGCGUUCAUCUAACUAUAUUGCACUCAGAUUUUGCUAUCCCCUACUGCAAGCUGUAAGAGGAGUUUAUAUGCAAACAUUCUACAUAUUUAGUCUUUGGACAAUUAAUUAGCGUAUAAUAUUAGAAGUGAUG